AUCCAGCUGACGAGUCCGAAAUAGGACAAGACGCGCGUCAUGUAU
rnacentral:hammerhead_ribozyme from 1 species